CAGCUUGCUGGGUGGAUUAGUGGCGAACGGGUGAGUAACACGUGAGUAACCUGCCCUCGACUCUGGGAUAAGCCCGGGAAACUGGGUCUAAUACUGGAUAUUCAAUUUCUACCGCAUGGUGGUUUUUGGAAAGGAUUCUGGUCGAGGAGGGACUCGCGGCCUAUCAGCUUGUUGGUGAGGUAAUGGCUCACCAAGGCGACGACGGGUAGCCGGCCUGAGAGGGUGACCGGCCACACUGGGACUGAGACACGGCCCAGACUCCUACGGGAGGCAGCAGUGGGGAAUAUUGCACAAUGGGCGAAAGCCUGAUGCAGCGACGCCGCGUGAGGGAUGACGGCCUUCGGGUUGUAAACCUCUUUCAGUAGGGAAGAAGCGAAAGUGACGGUACCUGCAGAAGAAGCGCCGGCUAACUACGUGCCAGCAGCCGCGGUAAUACGUAGGGCGCAAGCGUUAUCCGGAAUUAUUGGGCGUAAAGAGCUCGUAGGCGGUUUGUCGCGUCUGCCGUGAAAGUCCGGGGCUUAACUCCGGAUCUGCGGUGGGUACGGGCAGACUAGAGUGCUGUAGGGGAGACUGGAAUUCCUGGUGUAGCGGUGAAAUGCGCAGAUAUCAGGAGGAACACCGAUGGCGAAGGCAGGUCUCUGGGCAGUAACUGACGCUGAGGAGCGAAAGCAUGGGGAGCGAACAGGAUUAGAUACCCUGGUAGUCCAUGCCGUAAACGUUGGGCACUAGAUGUGGGGGACAUUCCACGUUUUCCGCGUCGUAGCUAACGCAUUAAGUGCCCCGCCCUGGGGAGUACGGCCGCAAGGCUAAAACUCAAAGGAAUUGACGGGGGCCCGCACAAGCGGCGGAGCAUGCGGAUUAAUUCGAUGCAACGCGAAGAACCUUACCAAGGCUUGACAUGGACCGGAUCGGGCUAGAAAUAGUCUUUCCCUUCGGGGCUGGUUCACAGGUGGUGCAUGGUUGUCGUCAGCUCGUGUCGUGAGAUGUUGGGGUUAAGUCCCGCAACGAGCGCAACCCUCGUUCUAUGUUGCCAGCACGUUGAUGGUGGGGGACUCAUAGGGAGACUGCCGGGGUCAACUCCGGAGGAAGGUGGGGGACGACGUCAAAUC
rnacentral:rRNA from 1 species